rnacentral:rRNA from 1 species
UACGGUAGGGUGCAAGCGUUAAUCGGAAUUGACUGGGCGUAAAGCGUGCGCAGGCGGUGAUGUAAGACAGACUGUGAAAUCCCCGGGCUCAACCUGGGAACUGCAUUUGUGACUGCAUCGCUGGAGUACGGCAGAGGGGGAUGGAAUUCCGCGUGUAGCAGUGAAAUGCGUAGAUAUGCGGAGGAACACCGAUGGCGAAGGCAAUCCCCUGGGCCUGUACUGACGCUCAUGCACGAAAGCGUGGGGAGCAAACAGG